rnacentral:lncRNA from 1 species
AGAGCACAGGGAAGAAUUCGUGCCUGGUUUAGAACAACUCGUGAAAAUGCCUUUUUUUUCCCUUGCCUGAUCUGGCAGAUGCUCAGCCCUUUUAAGAACUACACUGCCCAGAUGUUCUGCUGCCAUUAUGAUCAUCCAUAACUUCAGUCUUCUGCCAGCAUUUUGUGACCUAAACGUACAAGGCCCCUCACUAGAAGUCCACUUUAGCUCUGACGUGCAUUGGAGGUGAGAGAAGAGGAACAAUUCUGGGACUUGGGCAAAGUUGUUCCUUCCUGUAAAGCUCUGGCUUUAACCUCUGAGCCCUGAAGCAUCUCUCUGAACAAGGAUUACAGCCUGGGUAAGUGACUGUGAGUAAUCUUGUUUGGCUGGUGUUUUUCUGAAUUUAUCAACUUUUAACUUUUUGAUGACCUUCCUUCCUUCCCCUAUUCCUGAGUAAGUACAAACACUGUAAAUUAUAUGACUCUUGAAAGCAGGAGCUGGCAGUGUGUGUUAAAGCAACUGUCAGGAGUGUCAUUUCAACUCGAGAUGAUGACA